GAUGAACGCUGGCGGCGUGCCUAAUACAUGCAAGUCGAGCGAACGGAUGAGAAGCUUGCUUCUCUGAUGUUAGCGGCGGACGGGUGAGUAACACGUGGAUAACCUACCUAUAAGACUGGGAUAACUUCGGGAAACCGGAGCUAAUACCGGAUAAUAUUUUGAACCGCAUGGUUCAAAAGUGAAAGACGGUCUUGCUGUCACUUAUAGAUGGAUCCGCGCUGCAUUAGCUAGUUGGUAAGGUAACGGCUUACCAAGGCAACGAUGCAUAGCCGACCUGAGAGGGGGAUCGGCCACACUGGAACUGGGACACGGUCAAGACUCCUACGGGAGGCAGCAGUAGGGAAUCUUCCGCAAUGGGCGAAAGCCUGACGGAGCAACGCCGCGUGAGUGAUGAAGGUCUUCGGAUCGUAAAACUCUGUUAUUAGGGAAGAACAUAUGUGUAAGUAACUGUGCACAUCUUGACGGUACCUAAUCAGAAAGCCACGGCUAACUACGUG
rnacentral:rRNA from 1 species